rnacentral:rRNA from 1 species
CAGUCGCCGCGGGAAUACGGAGGGUGCAAGCGUUAUCCGGAUUUAUUGGGUUUAAAGGGUCCGUAGGCGGAUCUGUAAGUCAGUGGUGAAAUCUCACAGCUUAACUGUGAAACUGCCAUUGAUACUGCAGGUCUUGAGUAAAUUUGAAGUGGCUGGAAUAAGUAGUGUAGCGGUGAAAUGCAUAGAUAUUACUUAGAACACCAAUUGCGAAGGCAGGUCACUAAGAUUUAACUGACGCUGAUGGACGAAAGCGUGGGGAGCGAACAGGAUUAGAUACCCCCGUAGUCCCUGUCUCUUAUAU